rnacentral:misc_RNA from 1 species
CGCGCUGUCAUCUGGGGAGUAGCCAGCUGGCGCCCGCGCAAGCGGACCGUCAGUGGCCUGUCGUCAACAUACUUGGUCGAGAGACCAUGGCGCACAGGAGAACGGACAACCGUUCGGGCGAGACCAAUGGCGUUGCA